rnacentral:rRNA from 1 species
GAGUAGCAGAUGUAGCAAUACAAAUGCUGCUUAGUGGCGCAAGGGUGAGUAACACGUGGGCAACCUGCCCAAAAGAACGGGAUAGCCCGCCGAAAGGCGGAUUAAUACCGUAUGUGACGAGAAGAGGGGACUCUUUGAUGUUAAAGUCGGAGCAAUCUGACGCUUUUGGAUGGGCCCGCGGCCUAUCAGCUAGUUGGUGAGGUAACGGCUCACCAAGGCUAUGACGGGUAGCUGGUCUGAGAGGACGACCAGCCACACUGGAACUGAGACACGGUCCAGACACCUACGGGUGGCAGCAGUCGAGAAUUUUUCUCAAUGGGGGAAACCCUGAAGGAGCGACGCCGCGUGGAGGAUGAAGGUCUUCGGAUUGUAAACUCCUGUCAUGAGGGAGUAAUACACGGCGUUAACUGCGUGCGUGUUUGAUAGUACCUCAAGAGGAAGAGACGGCUAACUCUGUGCCAGCAGCCGCGGUAAUACAGAGGUCUCACGCGUUGUUCGGAUU